rnacentral:rRNA from 1 species
UAGGGAAUCUUCGGCAAUGGACGAAAGUCUGACCGAGCAACGCCGCGUGAGUGAAGAAGGUUUUCGGAUCGUAAAACUCUGUUGUUAGAGAAGAACAAGGACGUUAGUAACUGAACGUCCCCUGACGGUAUCUAACCAGAAAGCCACGGCUAACUACGUGCCAGCAGCCGCGGUAAUACGUAGGUGGCAAGCGUUGUCCGGAUUUAUUGGGCGUAAAGCGAGCGCAGGCGGUUUCUUAAGUCUGAUGUGAAAGCCCCCGGCUCAACCGGGGAGGGUCGUUGGAAACUGGGGGACUUGAGUGCAGAAGAGGAGGGUGGAAUUCCAUGUGUAGCGGUGAAAUGCGUAGAUAUAUGGGGGAACACCAGUGGCGAAGGCGGCUCUCUGGUCUGUAACUGACGCUGAGGCUCGAAAGCGUGGGGAGCAAACAGG